rnacentral:lncRNA from 1 species
GGAUGGAGUGAAAGGCGGAGAAAGGCAGAGAAGGGUGCAUUCUCACUCCCUGCUGGGGCUGACGUGCUUUUCUGCCCUUGGACGACACUUGGUUCUCUGGCUUUUGGACUCUGGGACUCUCACCAGUGGACCUCCAGAGUUGUACUAUUAGUUUCAGACUUGGACUGAAACACGCUGCCAGCUUCCCUGUUCUCAGCUUGCCGGAGGCUUGUUGUUUUAACUCUCCCAUAAGACCACAGGAAGUGGACUGCAGUCGUCUUCCCCCAUCACUGAACAUCCGCUGUCUACUAUAGUGCCAAGCACAUAGGUGUGUUCAAUAAAUAUUCAUCGAGCAAAUGAGCAAUAUUCCACUCAUUCCAAAUCGUUUGGGAUGGCUGCAGCUUAGGGUGCCUUAUCAUGGCAGGCGGGUGCUGAGACUUUUUGACUUAAAAUGAAGACGAAAUUGUCUAAGGCGCCAUAAGCGAAUUUUAAGGAGGGUAACAGUCAGAUCUUAAAUUAGUUGGGAGCUGUGCUGAGUGGGUAGGCACAAACAGGCAUGUCUAGGCAGGAACCUGCUGCUGUGAGCUGCACAAGCAAGGAAGGUUUAAAUCAGGGGUGUCCAAUGUUUUGACUUCCCUGGGCCACGCUGGAAGAAUUGUCUUGGGCCACAUAUAAAAUGCACUAACAAUAGCUGGUGAGCUAAAACAAAACAAAACAAAAAACAAAAAAUUGCAGAAAAAGCUCAUCUUUUAAGGAAGUUUACAAAUUAGUGUUGGGUCGCAUUAAAGCAAUCAUGGGCGGCGUGCAGCCCGUGGGCCAUGGGUUGGACAAGCAUGGAACUUUAAACCAAGGCGGGGCAGUGGGAGCGAGAGUCACUGUGCAGAACUGACAGGACUUUGUAACCAAACUGGACGUGAAGUCUAAGUGGAGGAACUAAAGAUGAAUUUCAAGUUUCCAGGGGGUGCCACAAAAUAAAUGGAAUACAGGAGGAAGAGGAGAUGAAAAGAGGGAAAUCACGUUAUAUUUUAGAGGGUAAGGAAUUCAUGCAAUGACCACUUAGGGAACUGGAUAUAUGGUUUAUAGCUCUGAAGUGACAUCUGGCCUGGAGUUGAAGAAGUUGUAUGUAAUCAGCUUACAGGUAUUAAAGACUUGUGGAAAAAUCAGAUCACCCAAGGUUAAGUGUGUUAAAAUCAAAGGCCCAAAGAUGGAGUCCUUGGAAACCCCAAUAUUCCAGUCAGACAGAAGAACUGAGAUGAAGAAAACCCAGAGACAAGUCUUUCGGAGUCUAAGGAGAAAGUUUCAAAGACAGAGUUCUUAAUGAUGCUGCCAAGAAGCCAUAGAAGGGAAAACUAAAGAGCAGUAGCUUUAUUAAGCUACAGUACAAGCUAAGAUGACGUUUCUGGGUCAUUUUGGGAGUGGGGGUAGGGUAUGCAGGAAGAGAGCAGACAGAGGUAGCCGAGUAUAGAUGAUUCUUUCCAGCAGCUUUGCGGACACCAUGGAAAGAUCAUCUUCCCGUACUACUUUGUAGUAUAAUAAACUUUUCAUGCAUCCUUCAGGAAAGAUUUAGCAGGAAUAGUUUACAUACUCCUAAAACAGACCUAGAAAACCUGGCAUAUAAGGCAAAAAGGAACCUAAGUCAUUUAAAUUUAAAGAUAUGAAAUAGACGUUUUUAUGAAUAUUAUAUAAAUUUCAAAGUUGGCAAAACAAAUUGUUACAUAUAUUUUUUGAGACGGAGUCUGGCUCCAUUGCCAGACUGGAAUGCAGUGGCACAAUCUCGGCUCAUUGCAAUCUCCACCUCCCGGGUUCAAGCGAUUCCCCUGCCUCAACCUCCCGAGUAGCUGGGACUACAGGCUCCCACCACUAUGCCUGGCUAAUUUUUUUUAUUUUGGUAGAGACACGGUUUCCCCAUGUUGGCCAGGAUGGUCUCGAUCUCCUGACCUUGUGAUCCACCCGCCUCGGCCUCCCAAAGUGCUGGGAUUACAGGCGUGAGCCACCGCGCCUGGCCCUGGCUUUCUUGUAAUGGGAAUUGUUUGGGGAAACCACAACAUCCAACACAGGAAUGACGCUGUGAUUUUUAAAACUGCCCUGAACUGCUGUGCUUGCUUGAAAUUAAUGUCGACCUUAAGGCAAUACCAUUACCCAUAUUAAUAUUCUCCCAAGUAAUAAAGGAAUAUCAUAACUCUUCUAUUAUUGCUUUCACCUAACCUGUACUAUUAAGGAUAGAAAGACUAUUGAAGGGCAACUAUAAAAACCUUUUUUUUUGAGACGGAGUUUUCACUCAUUGCCCAGGCUGGAAUGUAGUGGUGCGAUUUUGGCUCACUGCAACCUCUGCCUCCCGGGUUCAAGUGAUUCUCCUGCCUCAGCCUCCCAAGUAGCUGGGAUUACAGGUGCCUACUACCAGGCCUGGCUAAUUUUUUUGUAUUUUUAGUAGAGAUGGAGUUUCACCAUGUUGGCCAGGCUGGUCUCGAACUCCUCAUCUCAAGUGAUCCACCCGCCUCGGCAGUAUGUCAAUUGCUUGUUACAGAAAUUAUAAACUCACAGGAAAAUAUUCAUUAUUUGAAGCAGAGCUGUCCUAAGAUAAUGCACACAAACCAACAAAAGACUAUUUAACAAAAAUAUUUAAUGCUGCCAAAAAGUAUAAAAAUACAGUAGGAAUGGCAGUACAAUACAAAG